rnacentral:lncRNA from 1 species
UUUGAAAUCUGAAAGAAUAUAUGGUGGGUUCAACUCUAUGUCACUUUCGAAAGCAAAAUCACUCAAGUCCUGGAAAAGGUGAACAUAACAUUCCUCUGACUUGCUUGUCAUCAAACCGUACGCAAGACGGUGUCGGGCAAUUGUAUUUGUCGGGCAAAAGAGUUGUCAGACAAAUGUACUUGUCUGGCAAAUGUACUUGUUGGGCAGAACAGUUGUCGGGUGGGUGACGUCUGGGAAGUGAGUUGUCGGGAGGGUGAGUGUUGGGCAAAUGUAUCAGACCCGUUUUAUCAAGUUUUAGAAAGAG